UUUAAUUUAAAAAAGAAUAAAUGUUCAUAGUAUAUACGUGGUAUAUACAUUAAAAUACACAUAUUAUAUGGAAUUAAAAUGUGCUUUAGUGUAGACGUUACUAUUUAGAGGAAAGCAAUAAAAUAAGGAUAAUUGAAAGGCAGAUAAAAUGCAGCCCAUAAAAUUAGGCGUUUGAAUAAAUCGGUCAUUGAUUAAACAACCAUAAACAAACCAUUGACAAGAGACUAUUAAAGAAGAUAAUAUAACAGGAAAUGAAAAAUGUCAUAUUUCAAUAUGUAUGCAUACAAAAUACAAAAAUA